AAACAAUUAAUCAGAAGUAACUCUCUCAAUUGAUUACAUUUGGCAACAGUGAGUAGACUUGUAUAUUCCAAACAUAACUCAAAACAUAACCUUAUAAAAAUUUUAGUUGUUAAAAACUUGUUAAAAAUGUUAAAUGAGUUAUUUAUUAUUGUUUUCUUAUAUUUUGCAAUUGUUAAGCUGGUUUACUUCGAAUUUACAAGGCAUAUUGUAAUAGGCAUUAUUUACCAUUACUUUGGUAUUUCUCCAGCUUUCUACAAGAAGUUUGGUGAUUUUGAAUUGGGAUUAUGAUGAAUUCAACCCAAAGGAAAUACAUAAUGUGAAUAUUUUAUGUGGAAAAGUUCCAGACACCAUAAAAAUUUGAGUUUCUUCCUGUUCCCAUGGAUGAAAAUGGGGACAUCUCAUCUGAAGGAAUUACAAUUAUUUGCCAGUAUGCCAAAUGAAUUUUCAACAUCAGUCAUACUUUCGUGAAUUUAUUGAUGAAAAUAAAACUAGGUACAUGAUUUAUUAUUUACUUCCAAGGGAUUCUAAGAUACUAUGUGUAAAAAGUCCAAUAUGCAGUGAUGAGCGUGCUAAUAACCCGCAAAAUAUGGGAUAUAACGCUAAAGAUGGGAAACAUGGGAUGCAGUCUGAAGUAAAAAGAGAUGAAACUACUAGAGGUGGAAAUUAUCGAUAUAAACAUAUAAAUUAAUAUAAAAAUAUAUAUAACAUAGUUUAUUAUUAUAUAUAUAUUACAUAGUUUCCCACCUUUAGACGUAUCAGAUGAGUAUGACAACUAUCACUAUGACAGGAGAAUUUUAUAAAAUACUCCUGUCACAGAUGUCUAAAUGUGGGAAACUAUGUAAUGUUAUUGUCGGCUAAGAGUGUUAAAACCUGCUAACUCCAUUUUUCACUGUGAGUGAUAUUGGGGUAGUUUCUAGGUCUGUGUACCUUCAUACACUGUCCCACAAGCCCGCUGGUUCCACUGUAGUUUAGAGAUAGUUAUUUCUAAACUACAUUGGGGUCAGCCGGUUUGUGGGGUGGUGUAUGAAAGUACACAGACCCAGAAACCAGCCCAAUAUCACUCAAAGUGAAAAAUGGAGUCAGCAGGUUAAAACUCUUAUCUGAUGUUAUGUUAAUUUAUUCGUUUAUAACGAUAAUUUCCACUUCUACCAGUUUCAUCUCUUUUUAUCUCAUAAGUUAAUAUGGUUUCCAUCUUUUUCCAUCUGUUCUCCAUGAAAUUUAUGAGUUCAUUUUUUGUACCUAUUAAACUUUAUUUUAAGGAUGAAUUUGAAAUGCAUUUAGGGAAUAUAUCUGUAAAAAAUAAAAUGUGUAUUGUAAAAUUGAAAUUCUCAAAAUAUAAUUUAUAAUUCGAA